rnacentral:rRNA from 1 species
UACGGAGGGUGCAAGCGUUGUUCGGAAUCACUGGGCGUAAAGGGUCUGUAGGUGGCUUGCUAAGUCAGACGUGAAAUCCCUCAGCUUAACUGGGGAACUGCGUCUGAUACUGGCGAGCUUGAGUGCAGGAGAGGAACGCGGAAUUCCAGGUGUAGCGGUGAAAUGCGUAGAUAUCUGGAGGAACACCGGUGGCGAAGGCGGGUCUCUGGGCCGAUACUGACGCUGAGGAGCGAAAGCGUGGGGAGCGAACAGG